AUGAAUCCCAAUCCUGACUCAUCAGGCACUUAUUGUUGAUUCUGCUGGGAAAAUCUCUUGUUUUCACAAUUUCCUGAUUAAGAAACUAGAUUGCAUUUGAUUCUGUGAAUGGCUUUGUGUUGCUGUGCCUCAGGCCCCAAUGUUAAACUGCUGAUGAAGGAUCAGAGCAGCUCAGAGGAAGAAGAGGAGGACAUAGUCACAGAGAACAGGAGAAGAAAGAGAAGUUACCAGAAAGGCCUGAAUAAAAGGGCCAAGGAAACAAUAAUAUCCACCGAGGAAGUGGAGACACUGUCAUCUUGUACGAAGUCCAGUUGCAGGCAUGCCAGUGUGGAGGCAGACAUCGAUGUGACCCAGCCUGCUCAGCAGGUGGGCUUUAUCUGCCAUCAGUUCAGCUCAGAGUUUAAGAGGAAGAUCAAGAAUCUCUGCAGGACAAUGGAUCUUUACACCAGGCAGACUUUGAAGACCUUACAGCAGCACAUGUCCUCCGUCAGUGUCCAAGUACACCAGUACAGUAGUAGUCAGAGGCUAGAGAAAGUUAAACAAGUCCUGGUGCGUGAAAUAGCAAACCUGGAGCAAGAUGACAUUGUUUUGAGAAGCAUGGAGGAGGAAUUGAUGACUUACUGGGAAAAGCAGACCUUGGCCUUUCACG
rnacentral:lncRNA from 1 species